rnacentral:rRNA from 1 species
AACGUUGGCCCCUGAUCGGGGUUGCGGACAGUGUCUGGUGGGUAGUUUGACUGGGGCGGUCUCCUCCUAAAGAGUAACGGAGGAGCACGAAGGUUGGCUAAUCCUGGUCGGACAUCAGGAGGUUAGUGCAAUGGCAUAAGCCAGCUUGACUGCGAGCGUGACGGCGCGAGCAGGUGCGAAAGCAGGUCAUAGUGAUCCGGUGGUUCUGAAUGGAAGGGCCAUCGCUCAACGGAUAAAAGGUACUCCGGGGAUAACAGGCUGAUACCGCCCAAGAGUUCAUAUCGACGGCGGUGUUUGGCACCUCGAUGUCGGCUCAUCACAUCCUGGGGCUGAAGUAGGUCCCAAGGGUAUGGCUGUUCGCCAUUUAAAGUGGUACGCGAGCUGGGUUUAGAACGUCGUGAGACAGUUCGGUCCCUAUCUGCCGUGGGCGCUGGAGAACUGAGGGGGGCUGCUCCUAGUACGAGAGGACCGGAGUGGACGCAUCACUGGUGUUCGGGUUGUCAUGCCAAUGGCACUGCCCGGUAGCUAAAUGCGGAAGAGAUAAGUGCUGAAAGCAUCUAAGCACGAAACUUGCCCCGAGAUGAGUUCUCCCUGACUCCUUGAGAGUCCUGAAGGAACGUUGAAGACGACGACGUUGAUAGGCCGGGUGUGUAAGCGCAGCGAUGC